ACCCUAGACAAAGCCUCCAUCUACGUUCUGCCUCUGAUCCAUACUCCAUUCUGGUUCCUGUUCGAACAAGCAUCGGGUAUGUUCAAUCUUCCUACUACCAAAUUUUCUUUCAAUUAAAUUCAUUCGGUCUAAUAGUUGUCUAAUUCGUUGUUGUGGUGUAUUUCUUGGUUCAAAUUUGGUGGCCACGAUGAUCGGAAAUGGUGGUGGUGGUCGCCUAAAAAAUCGGAUAUGAUGCUAUGGUGGUUUCACACCACCGUAUCACCGCCACUUCUUUGUUAAUCGAUUGGCUUCAACCCUAAUCUCUUCUUCAGUCGGCUUCAAGGUUUCUCUCUCCAUCAAUUUCUCACUCAUCUCCAUCGAUUUCAAGAUUUAUUCAUUUGUUCAUCGUUUAGGGUUUAAAAAAAUCACAAUCCAAGAAACAUGAACUUUUUGAUGUUUACCGAUGUGAAAUUACGAUUCGUAUUUCAAAUAUGUGAGACGAACACAGGCGAUGGUGCCGGGAUAUUCGUGGUUCGAUUUGGUGUUUAUCCUUUAUUAAUGGUGACUGGUUUCAUCCUUAUAAGUUGAGAAGGUUUUCUGAUCGGCUCUCCACAAAUGAAGUGAAAAAGAAGUCAUAUACUUAAACAAGUUCUUUUAUAUUAGAUUUUAGAUGCGAAAAGUAUGUGAGUAAGGAAAAAGCAGCUCGUGGUAGUGGGAGAACUCAUUUCACAAAGGGAAUCAUAUGCUCCACAACCUACCGAUACACCUUAAGAUUCAAAGAUUCGACAUGAACCAACGCUCUUAAGAGUUAAGAUGGUAAACCAGAGCCAAUGCAUGAGUAUAAACCAGCCGGAAGAGCUCUUAAAAUUUAGUUCGCCAAACGUAUGCAUAUUGUCUUAAAUAAAAGCAUUUACAUUCUACUAAAGGACAUGAUGGUGUGGGUCACCAAAUGUUAAUGCUCAAGAAGACAAGCCAGCUUUUGAAACAGGCUGGCAACUAAGCAGAUCAUGAAGGAGAUGAAAUCUAUGGCAGUUGGGUUUUGUAAUUGUGGUGUGACUGCGGUUCAUGGUUGUAGGAGGUGUUACUCGGAGAUCACUGACUGGUUGCUACGAGCAUGUUACAACUAUUGUAUUUGCACGACCAAGUGGAUUAAUCUAAAACAAAUCCCCGCAGAUGUAUAGUGAUGGCCGUAGCAAGAAAUUCUAGAUGGCUCUGAGAAAGAGUAACUGUUGUUUGUCUGAAGACACCUUAAUUCUUAAUAAAAGUAAAAAAUAUAUAAUGUUUUAUAUUUCAAUGCAUUUUAAUUAUAUUUUCACUUUGUCAAUAAGUAAUUUAUGUAAUGUGUUACUUUUGUAUUUAUAUUAUUUAUACACUUUGUGAUAAUGUAGAUUAAAUUGUCAUGA